GACGAACGCUGGCGGCGUGCUUAACACAUGCAAGUCGAACGGAAAGGCCCUGCUUGCAGGGUACUCGAGUGGCGAACGGGUGAGUAACACGUGGGUGAUCUGCCCUGCACUUCGGGAUAAGCCUGGGAAACUGGGUCUAAUACCGGAUAGGAGCCAUUUUUAGUGUGAUGGUUGGAAAGUUUUUUCGGUGUAGGAUGAGCUCGCGGCCUAUCAGCUUGUUGGUGGGGUAAUGGCCUACCAAGGCGGCGACGGGUAGCCGGCCUGAGAGGGUGGACGGCCACAGUGGGACUGGGAUAAGGCCCAGACUCCUACGGGAGGCAGCAGUGGGGAAUAUUGCACAAUGGGCGCAAGCCUGAUGCAGCGACGCCGCGUGGGGGAUGACGGCCUUCGGGUUGGAAACUCCUUUCGCUAGGGACGAAGCUUUUUGUGACGGUACCUAGAUAAGAAGCACCGGCUAACUACGUG
rnacentral:rRNA from 1 species